rnacentral:tRNA from 2 species
GCCCGGGUGAUGGAAUGGCAGACAUGGUGGCCUCAAAAGCCACUGUCCGAAAGGGCGUGCGGGUUCGAAUCCCGCCCCGGGCA